rnacentral:rRNA from 1 species
AGUGAACGCUGGCGGUAGGCCUAACACAUGCAAGUCGAACGGCAGCACAGUAAGAGCUUGCUCUUACGGGUGGCGAGUGGCGGACGGGUGAGGAAUACAUCGGAAUCUACUUUUUCGUGGGGGAUAACGUAGGGAAACUUACGCUAAUACCGCAUACGACCUACGGGUGAAAGCAGGGGAUCUUCGGACCUUGCGCGAUUGAAUGAGCCGAUGUCGGAUUAGCUAGUUGGCGGGGUAAAGGCCCACCAAGGCGACGAUCCGUAGCUGGUCUGAGAGGAUGAUCAGCAACACUGGAACUGAGACACGGUCAAGACUCCUACGGGAGGAAGCAGAGGGGAAUAUUGGACAAUGGGCGCAAGCGUGAUCCAGCAAUACCGCGUGGGUGAAGAAGGACUUCGGGUUGUAAAGCCCUUUUGUUGGGAAAGAAAAGCAGCAGGUUAAUACCCCGCUGUUCUGACGGUACCCAAAGAAUAAGCACCGGCUAACUUCGUG